rnacentral:rRNA from 1 species
UACGUAGGGGCCUAGCGUUGUCCGGAUUCACUGGGUUUAAAGGGUGCGUAGGUGGGUUGGUAAGUCAGUGGUGAAAUCUCCAGGCUUAACUUGGAAACUGCCAUUGAUACUAUCAAUCUUGAAUACCGUGGAGGUCAGCGGAAUAUGUCAUGUAGCGGUGAAAUGCUUAGAUAUGACAUAGAACACCAAUUGCGAAGGCAGCUGGCUACACGAAUAUUGACACUGAUGCACGAAAGCGUGGGGAUCAAACAGG